GCUCCUUUGGCGAGAGGUUCGCUGUCUCACCUAACGUACCAAUGAUGAGAUGUCUUCACAUAAAUAAAGAUCAUACAGCAGCAUAAGCACCAUCAAGAAUAAAAAAGAAUGUACCUGCACUCCCCCACCACAGCAAUUAUCCACAAUAUCUGAGGAGAACUGAAGAUACAAUUCAAAAUCGUACUGUGUUUCAGACAAGAGGGCAGAAGGGCACAGCACAGAACAUGUCAGGUGACCAGUGUGUGUGUGUGACUAUGUG